AAAAAGUUUACUUCAAGUUCCGAAGCUAUCGUUUAUGCGGACACUGGGUCAGAAAGAGUGUAUACUCUACUUCUUCCUACUGCCUACUGGAUAGAUAUUUACUUUCUAUUCGUGCCAAGUAUGCGAAGUUUGAUUUGCAAAUAUUUUCUAAUGAUCCAAUCAGACAGUUUGAAAACGAUUCGCAUUGAUGGUCAGUUGGUAAGAAAAUGGGAGCAAAAAGCGCAAUUAGAUGAUAAAGUAAUGUAUGGAUCUGUUGCGGUUACGACAAUAAACAAACAAGUAUCAGGAAAUACGCCAUUCGGGUGUUACAUUUUCGGGAAAAUC